rnacentral:rRNA from 1 species
AACGAACGCUGGCGGCAUGCCUAACACAUGCAAGUCGAACGAGACCUUCGGGUCUAGUGGCGCACGGGUGCGUAACGCGUGGGAACCUGCCCUUAGGUUCGGAAUAACUCCCCGAAAGGGGUGCUAAUACCGGAUGAUGUCUUCCGACCAAAGAUUUAUCGCCUUUGGAUGGGCCCUCGUUGGUUUAGCCAGUUGGUAGGGUAAAAGCCUACCAAGGCGACGAUCCAUAGCUGGUCUGAGAGGAUGAUCAGCCACACUGGGACUGAGACACGGCCCAGACUCCUACGGGAGGCAGCAGUGGGGAAUAUUGGACAAUGGGCGAAAGCCUGAUCCAGCAAUGCCGCGUGAGUGAUGAAGGCCUUAGGGUUGUAAAGCUCUUUUACCCGGGAUGAUAAUGACAGUACCGGGAGAAUAAGCUCCGGCUAACUCCGUG